rnacentral:rRNA from 1 species
GAUGAACGCUGGCGGCGUGCCUAAUACAUGCAAGUCGAGCGAACAGAUGAGGAGCUUGCUCCUCUGACGUUAGCGGCGGACGGGUGAGUAACACGUGGAUAACCUACCUAUAAGACUGGGAUAACUUCGGGAAACCGGAGCUAAUACCGGAUAAUAUAUUGAACCGCAUGGUUCAAUAGUGAAAGACGGUUUUGCUGUCACUUAUAGAUGGAUCCGCGCCGCAUUAGCUAGUUGGUAAGGUAACGGCUUACCAAGGCGACGAUGCGUAGCCGACCUGAGAGGGUGAUCGGCCACACUGGAACUGAGACACGGUCCAGACUCCUACGGGAGGCAGCAGUAGGGAAUCUUCCGCAAUGGGCGAAAGCCUGACGGAGCAACGCCGCGUGAGUGAUGAAGGUCUUCGGAUCGUAAAACUCUGUUAUUAGGGAAGAACAAAUGUGUAAGUAACUAUGAACGUCUUGACGGUACCUAAUCAGAAAGCCACGGCUAACUACGUG